CCUACGGGUGGCUGCAGUCGAGAAUCUUCCGCAAUGGGCGAAAGCCUGACGGAGCGACGCCGCGUGCAGGACGAAGUGCUUCGGUAUGUAAACUGCUUUUAUGAGAUAGAAAGUUUAUUGAUCAUCUCAUGAAUAAGGGGUUGCUAAACUCGUGCCAGCAGCAGCGGUAAUACGAGUGCCCCGAGCGUUAUCCGGAAUUAUUGGGCGUAAAGGGUGUGUAGGCGGCUUUGUUAGUCUUUUGUUAAAACCUCCGGCUUAACCGGAGAUCAGCAAAAGAGACGGCAAAACUUGAGGGUGCGAGAGGUCUGUGGAACUCAUGGUGUAGGGGUGAAAUCCGUUGAUAUCAUGGGGAACACCUAAAGCGAAGGCAACAGACUGGUGCAUUCCUGACGCUGAGACACGAAAGCGUGGGUAGCGAAUGGGAUUAGAUACCCCAGUAGUCC
rnacentral:rRNA from 1 species